CCACUCAUUCACAAGCACACCCACAAUAUCCUCCCUGCAACACUACUUUCUCCCUUGUGUUUCCCAUCCCUCCAGACGUGAGCUCUACUUGUCAUGUUCCUACUUCUAUUGCUACUACAACUACUAACCGAUGGAGAGAUGGGUGUUAAGUGUACUUCUACUACUACUACAAACCUCUAUGGAGAGAUGGGUGCUAACUGUGCAUAAGGAGAAUAAAAACUAACUUCUAUAAUAUCCUUUUCCUUUCUUCCUACAAACCUAUGGAAAGAUGGGUGUUAACUCUCUUCUACUACUACAACUACAAACCUCUAUGGGAAGACGGGUGCUAACUGUGCAUAAGAAGAGUAAAAACUACCUUCUAUCCUAUCCGUUUCCUUCCCCACCUCACUGCUUGCGAAUAUUAAGCAUUACUCUAAAAAACAUGCAAUGGAGAAACAGGACGAGAGAUAUCAGCGGAGUUACAGAGGCCAGAGUGGAGGAGAGAUGGAUGGGCAGUCUUCUCUCACCUCACCUCACCCCACACCUUCACCUUUUAUUUCUAACAGUCCUCAGGUAGUCCGUGUCUGUCGGGUGUUGUGGGCGGCAUCCUCGGAGGUGACACUCUCGAUCGUAUUACUAAACAUUUCGUCUCCAAAGUUCACCUAUUUGACCAGGCUUUCCUAGGAGUUUUGGGCAUAUCCAGAAGUAGUUUUAUGACCCUGGUGGUAGUCUGACCCUUCUUCUGUACCAUGAACCUAAAGAAACACUCAUUAGAAGCCGAUUGAUCCCCUCUUUGACCUUUAGAAAUAGCUGAUGUGAGAAACCAAAGCGCCUUAUAAUACCGACCUCUAAGUCUUCUAUCACGGCACUCGUCUGGCACCGAGAGGCAUAACGUACUGACACACAGGGACUCAGGAGAUAGGGGUGAGGUCUAAGCUUAACCCGGUAGCAGAGAUGGUACUAGCGACGAGCCAAAUUUUUGCCAUAACACAAACCCCCCAAAAUAGAUGAUGCAUAAACUGAUCACAAAUGCGUUGAUAUAUAUUAUGAAAUGGUUUGCAUGGGUGAUGAUUUUUUCUCAUUUUUCUCGCUCAGAGGGAAGGGCCUUUAAGAAACAUGAUCCCCGCAGCUACCGGGUUAAAAUCACACAUCUUCGUUUGUGAGUGAUGUUACCCUGCAACUCUGAACAUCAUCAUGAAGAGAAGUAGGAGAGAACAUUGCAGGGGGAAGAAAUAAAAGAGAUGGAUAUUAAAAGAAAACACAGCUACAGAGGAACAUUAGGGGAAAACAAUGCAGGAGAAAGAAACGUUUGUGGAAAAACAUUAUUGCAAAGAACAUUAGGGAUGAAAACAUUGCUAAAGAGGAGUAUUAGGGUAAAAAUAUGAAAAACAAUACAAGAAAACAGUAAAGAACAAGAAGGUAGAGAGUAAAGAACAUUAUAGAGAAAAAAAGAAACAAGAAGAAUAGAAGAGAAGGAGAGAAAGAAGGAAAAGGAGAAAAGAGAAGAUAAAAUGAUGAGAGAGGAGGAAAAAAGAUAAGAUAAGAGAGAAGAAGAAAUGAGAGAGAAAAAAAUUGCAACAAGUAAAGAACACUAAAAAAAUAACUAGAGAAAGAAGGAAAAGGAGAAAUGAGAAGAGAAGAUAAAAAUGAUGAGAGAGGAGGAAAACAGUGAAGAUGAGAGAGAAGAAGAAAUAGAGAAAAAAUUUGCUACAGUAAAGAACAAUGUAAAAAAUAACUAAUUAGAAAACAUCACAGGUGGAAAAAUAUACCCCCAGGUUAACGACACUCACAUAGAAGAAAUUAUGACACUAAACCUACACAUAAACAUCUCCGAAGGCCAUGUACGAGUGAAGUCCGUCCCCUAUAGUGCCAACCCUUAACACCAUUGGGCCAGACGAGUGCCGUGACAGAUGUGUGGGUGUGUCAGUGGCCAUUAUGCAGCACACAACACCUGUAUCGGCUACAUGAGGACAGCAAGGUGAUAAGGUAAGGUGUGUGAGGAGCCCCAGCGUCCGUCUCCACUCUGGGAACGAGGAAGAGGCAUCAGAUAGCAUUGCUGGGAAAAUGUGAGAUAGCAUUAGAUAGCAUUGAGGAAGAGGCAUCAGAUAGCAUUGCUGGGAAAAUGUGAGAUAGCAUUAGAUAGCAUUGAGGAAGAGGCAUCAGAUAGCAUUGCUGGGAAAAUGUGAGAUAGCAUUAGAUAGCAUUGCGAGAGAACACAGGAAACGAGAUCGCACACACGCAGAAAACAUUAGAUAACGAUAUGAAGAGAGAACAGCAAAUGAGAAAAAAAGUAUUAUAUAACAUUACAAAAGGGCAUAACUUACUGAUAGACAAGGGUGCUAAGGGUGGGAGAGAAGGGAGGGAUUUCAAGGGAGGAGGUUGGUACAAAGGGAGCAUAACUUACUGACAUACAAGGGUGAUAAGGGAGGGAAAGAAGGGAGGGGUUUUAAGGGUGGAGGUUUAUACUAAGGGAGCAUAACUUACAAGGGUGCUAAGGGAGGGAGAGAAGGGAGGGGUUUUAAGGGUGUGGGUUCGUACUAAGGGUGGUAAGGGCAGGAGAGAAGGGAGGGGUUUUAAGGGUGUGGGUUCGUACUAAGGGUGGUAAGGGCAGGAGAGAAGGGAGGGGUUUUAAGGGUGUGGGUUCGUACUAAGGGUGGUAAGGGCAGGAGAGAAGGGAGGGGUUUUAAGGGCGGAGGUUCUUACUAAGGGUGCUAAAGGGGGGAGAGAAGGGAGAGGUUUUAAGGGUACAUAACUCAUAAAGAAACAUCAUAAAGAAUUAAACUAACAUUUGAACACUCCCUAAAACAGACCCCUGACAGACCAAUCAGACCCAAAAUAUCUUAGCUAUAGACACACAGACCAUUACCAAAAGAGAAAAAAGAAAGAAAACCACCUCAGACCACUAACAGACCACUAUCAGACCACUAUCAGACCACUACCAGACCACCACCAGACCACUACCAGACCACUAUCAGACCACAAACAGACCACAAACAGACCACAAACAGUACACUACCAGACUACAAACAGACCACAAACAGACCACUUUCAGACUGUAAACAGACCACUUUCAGACCACGUAAAACCAGGAUAUAUGUAGAUAUUAAUCCUCUUCCCUUUUAGCACAUUCUAGACCACCUCAUUAAUGGGCGUCGUUGGGUAAUUACUGAGCGAUUAGCCCUGACUCUUGGAAGCCCUAAUUAAUGUGUGAAAUGAGUGGUAAUGAAGUUUUUGUUUGUUAAUUAUUGUGAAGUUUGGAGAUAAUUUGGGUUUUAUAUAUAUUUUUUCUUCUAUCAAUGAAUGGCAAUGUUUUUUUUUUUUUGUUUGUUUUUAGUUGAUAAUUGUGAAAUGUAUGAAUCAUCUUGACUGUUUUUUUUCUUUUGUUUAUGUUUGUUUUUUGUUUGUUUCUUCCUAAGGCUGUUUUUUUUUAUCUUUCUUUCUUUACUCAAUUUUCAUUCCUUUUUUUUUGUUUAUCUUGAACCAUCCACAUUUUUUUUUUUUUUUCCUUCUUCUCUCUCUAAGUUUGUCCUCUCCUUUAUCAUCGCUUUUCCUCACUGUCCUCCUUCUCUCUCUCUCUCUCUCUCUCUCUCUCUCUCUCUCUCUCUCUCUCUCUCUCUCUCUCUCUCUCUCUCUCUCGUAUCAAUCUUUCUUUCCUUCCUUUCCUCCUUCCUGUUUGCCCUUCAUGACUAUUCUCCUCUAUUAUUUUUUCAUUCCUCUCUUUCUGUCUCCGUUAUUUUCCUCCAUCAACUUCUUCAAGACUUCCCUCACUUUUGUUCAUCUUCCCUUGACUUAUCACACUCAUAUUUAAAUAACUAAUUCUUUUGUUCUCAUCAGUGCUCUUAAAACAAGCAAGACAAACCUUAUUCUAUGCACACAAACACACACACACACACACACCUCAUUAGCAACACAGAACACAGGUACACAACACAACAACACACCUGCAAAACACACCUGUCGAAGAAGCACCCAAUUUAGCACCUUGAGUUCAGCGGCACAUAUGUUAACUCCCUCUCCCUUUCCCUCUCUCUUGCUCAGUCUAUGUGUUUCUCUCCUUAACCCAGUACAAAGCAUGGUUAAGUUCCUCUCAGCCAUAGACACUCAGAUACAUAGAGACUAAUAGAUGAUAGACCAUGGGAGACCCUAAUCUGUGAAAACAAGCACAACACAACACUAACGCAACACAACAACACAACAACACUGCCCCUGGAAAAACAAUUAAUCUGGUCUCAUGAAAAUACCUCGCCAGUAACUCAAAGGGAAAGAGAAUAAGGAGGAGGAGGAGGUGUUAAAUAAAAGAGGUUUCCAUUUGUUCCUCUCUCUCUCUCGCUCUCGCUCUCUCUCUCUCCUUUUUCUCCUCCUGUUCUGUUUCUCUCUCUCUCUCUCUCUCUCUCCUUCUCCUCCUGUUCUCUCUCUCUUUCUCUCCUUCUUCUCCUCCUGUCCUCUCUCUCUCCUUCUGUCCUCCUGUCCUCUCUCUCUCCUUCUUCUCCUCCUGUCCUCUCUCUCUCCUUCUUCUCCUCCUGUCCUCUCUCUCUCUCCUCCUUCUCUUAUCUGCCUCACACUCAAGUAUCCUAUCAAGAGAAGUAUGAUUUAAGCUGCGAGUGUGAUUUUAAAGAGCCCGUUGAUUCCCUUCUUGUGAGAUUGUUACGCACUUCUUGCAAACUCCUUUCCUCUCUCUCUCUCUCCUUCUCUUAUCUGCCUCACACUCAAGUAUCCUAUCAAGAGAAGUAUGAUUUAAGCUGCGAGUGUGAUUUUAAAGAGCCCAUUCAUUCCCUAUUUGCGAGAUUGUUACACACUUUUUGCAAACUCCUUUCCUCUCUCUCUCUCCUUCUCUUAUCUGCCUCACACUAAUGUAUCCUAUCAAGAGAAGUAUGAGUGAGGCUGUGGAGUGUGGUUUUAAAGAGCCCCUUCAUUCCCUCCUUAUCUUCAGACCUUGCGAGAUUGUUUAGUAUGAGAAAUGUCUUGAAAAUUAUAGAUAAAAGUGGGUAUUGAGUUUCUGCUGUUGGUUAAGAAGAGAAAAUAAUAGCUAAUGAUUCUUGUAACAAACUAAAGGAAAGAAGAGGGAGAUAGAGAAGGAAAUGAAGAUGAAGAGGAGGAAAAAGAUGAAGGAGAAGAAGGUGAAAAAGAAGACAAAGAAGAUGAAGGAGAAGAUGGGAAAGAAGAUGAAGAAGAAGAAGAAGAAGAAGAAAAACAACCUUCAAGUAAUAAAUAUGAAGCAAAAAAAAUAAGAAAAUAAACAAAAUCUAAAACAUAAACACACGCACACACACACACACCUGCCCCCCCCCCCCCCACCCUCCCCUAAUACCUGAAGCGUUGAUCAAGAAAUUAAGGCACAUGACAAAACAAACGAACAGGCGCACAAACAAACAAACAAACAUACAAACACACAAAGGCGAAGACAGGUGGGAUGAUGGACCGCACACCUGAGACACACACACACACACACACACACACACACACACACACACACACACAC